UCGAGUUUGCCGUUGGGGACUGUGCUGGCCUUUGGGCACGUGCACGUCCCCUUCAUUUCCACACACCUUGUGCACCUCUAGGCGGCUCUCCCGACGGAAGUCGCCUGCUUUUUCACAUGCGCUUUUUUCAUGUAUAUUGGGAUGUCUGUUCUAAAUAGUAA
rnacentral:misc_RNA from 1 species